GUGAGAGAAAAUUCCCAUACAAUUAGUUUCAAACAAACUUUUUUAUGAUUGUACAAACUUGGACAAAGUCCCAGAGUAGGUGUGUCUUUGUCUUGUUCCACACUACAACCGCAGAGUAAAUCCUGAGGAGUAGCAUGCCGCAACAAACUCAUUGUUACUCUUCUAAUAAUACAAAAAGAUGCAAGUUGACAAAUGAAAUGACAUGUCACCAACCUGCCAAAGAAUCUCUUUGUAAUAAAUUACUAUCAGACGGUUCUAUUGCGUCCUGUCAGUCACAAAGAAAAUGUAUAACCUGUCUGAACGUUCUUAAUCAUGAGACGUCACACGAAUAGGCCCCGCUCCAGAGGCACGUUUUGCACACUUAAUGCGCCUUAACUUCUGUAACCUUUCAACCAUUUGUCAUAUUGCUGACAGAAGCAAGAGCUCAAACAAUCCAAACCGAGUGUAUCCAGUGUUAAAUUAGCCAUUUAGUUACAUCUAAGUUCCAUCAAUCACAUUUGUCAGAGGUCUAGAUUUAAAGGGUGCCAAUUAUUGUGCCUGUUUUUCCAUCCAAUCCUCAAACGCAGCGUCUUUGUCACAAUUAGAGGCACUUACUGUAUGCAUGUAGUGCCUUGCAAAAGUAUUCACACCUCUUGACCCUUUUCACCUUUUGUGCUGUUCCCACAGAUUUUACGUAUAGACCAACCUUGAACCAGGUUCUUAUCCCGGUUUUAAGGUCAUGGCUUAGUAACCUUUAAUCACGGAACAACAUCAGUGUGUAUGAGGAUUUUUUAAUAACUAAAAACAACAACAAAACUUACUUCAAAAGUAAAAUAGAUUUUAUGUUCAGAAACUUGAAAAGUGGCAUGCAUAGAACUGAAGGAGAUUUGGUUGGAUUUUCCUCAUUUCAUAAAGAAGCUUAAGCAGGCGUAACCAAUGCUUAGGUAGAUAGAUUAUACAACAAAACAACCACUGUCAAUGUCAGUGUUCUGACAUUUUGAAAUAAGACUGUGUCCAUAUUUUAGAAUAAAACACUUUCAAAUCAAUUUGGAGUUGUUUUGCUAUUUUGAUAACCUAGUUUCCCAGCUGCGCCUGAACGCAGCAUGUACAACUCUUGGGGAAAUUCGAUCUUGUCAACGGAUGCUACAGGUAGCUAUUUGGACUUUUCUCCACAAUCCGGAAUAUUAAUAUUCCGGAUAGGUGAGAGAAUCUAUAGAUCUGGAUUUCCCAGGCUUCAAACGGAUGACUGGGAUGAUGUGUCACUCUGGGCUCGGUCUAUGUCACAAACCACAUUGAGGAGCUAGAGGAAACGGAAACGAACUUUGGAGCUGUGAAUCAUCCGUCCGAAAUUCUUCACAUUGAUGCUGCUCUUCUUCCACCCACUGGCCGGGUCAUAGGCGAAAGGAGG